GACGAACGCUGGCGGCGUGCCUAAUACAUGCAAGUCGAACGAGAGCGACCGGUGCUUGCACUGGUCAAUCUAGUGGCGAACGGGUGAGUAACACGUGGGUAACCUGCCCAUCAGAGGGGGAUAACAUCCGGAAACGGAUGCUAAAACCGCAUAGGUCUUCGAACCGCAUGGUUUGAAGAGGAAAAGAGGCGCAAGCUUCUGCUGAUGGAUGGACCCGCGGCGCAUUAGCUAGUUGGUGAGGUAACGGCUCACCAAGGCCGUGAUGCAUAGCCGACCUGAGAGGGUGAUCGGCCACAUUGGGACUGAGACACGGCCCAAACUCCUACGGGAGGCAGCAGUAGGGAAUCUUCCGCAAUGGACGCAAGUCUGACGGAGCAACGCCGCGUGAGUGAAGAAGGUUUUCGGAUCGUAAAACUCUGUUGUUAGAGAAGAACAAGUGCUAGAGUAACUGUUAGCGCCUUGACGGUAUCUAACCAGAAAGCCACGGCUAACUACGUG
rnacentral:rRNA from 1 species